ACCCCCUCUGGAAGGGCCGGGGACAGCUUCUCGGAGAAGAAGACGGUAGAUCAGAGGGAUUUGUGUGGGUUUGGUGUCCCCACAUGCCUAGUCCCACACCAAGAGCUGUACCAACACUGAGUGGUCACGAACUUGCUUUCUGGAAUCAGAGAUGAGGAUUCCAGUCCACCCUCUAUUCUCCCAUUCGAUGGCUACGCUGUGUUGACAAACUACUCCCCUCACGGUCAAUCUGCACGCGAGUCUCGGUUGCAGGGUCUGUGUCCCGGGGAACCCAACGCAAACACUGACAUCAACAGCAAUCUGCCUGGCCCAGGCAUUCUAAUCAUUCAGCGACCAACAAAACUGAUUGAGCUCCAGGAUCUGAAUGAGUCGUUUGCUGAAUAAUGGUCUUCAUCUCAUCUGUAAUAUCCCCUGUGUCCAUAAGGUUGUGCUUGGAUAGGUGCAGGAUUGCCUGUCCUUGCUGUACUUCCAAACUAAUCCUCAUAAACAGAUCUGACGCUGAGCAGUAUCAAAGAGAAAACUUUAUAUAAAAAGCAAGCAUUCUCUGAAUCCCCAACACCCGGUGGGCUGAAUCACAGCUAUUGUCAUAUCGAUCACAACAAUCUGAGGCUGCUGUGAACUGUCAUGGGGCACUGCACAGCCCACCGGAAGGAUCGCACACUCUGGAAAGGGGACUUGUCAAUGACAGGAAUAAAAGAAGGCAGCCAGGACAGUCUCUCCUUCACCAAAGAUAAGUAUAAACCACUUGGACAAGCAUCUCCUCACCAACAGAUGAGAUCAUGGACUUCAGUUUUUCCCGACUAUGUGCUUUCUGAAAUGCUUGAGUCCUUCUCCCUGCUCCAUCUUUUUUUUUUUUUUCCUUAGAAGCUUCGCCAGCAUCCCAUCUGAGGUCUUCCUCACUUGCUGGUGAGCAAGCAAUUCUAGUCACAUCUUCCCAAUGACAGGGACUGAUGCUACUCGGCACCAGGGUGUCGGGGAGAAGGACAAAAAAAAUGACAACAAAUGGAAAGAAUACACGAUUAAACUGUUCGGCAGGAGUAAAUCAGCAUGGUUAGCUAAGCAUUCUCCAUCAGCUUUGUGGCGGCUGUGAUGUUGAUCUGUGAACAAACUAAGAGGAAAAACAAGACAAAGACACUAAGGAGGUAAAGUCACGCGUGACAAGCUAGAAGGCUCCAGUUUCCUUCUGGGUGCACCUUCUGCAUCCUCCUGCAGUGGAGCGAAUCCAGCAGGCAAUUUGAUUAGGAUUUCUCUUCCCCAAAAUGCAGAUGCUAACUGGAGGGAGGUGAUGCUUGAAGCAACAAAGUCCUACAAGUCAGCACUAACACAGUCUGGCCAGAUCGUGGUCACCUGAUGUCAAGGUCAUUAGAACUGAGAUUCUCUUCUGGCCCUGCAGGCACCCUACUCUCUCUCUUCCUGAAGCCAGCAAGGUGAUGCAUCCUGUAAUCCCAGCAGGCUGAGGCAGAAGGAUCACUGCAAG